AGAACGAACGCUGGCGGCAGGCUUAACACAUGCAAGUCGAACGGGCGUCGCAAGACGUCAGUGGCAGACGGGUGAGUAACACGUGGGAACCUUCCUAGGGGUACGGAACAACUCAGGGAAACUUGAGCUAAUACCGUAUACGUCCGUAAGGAGAAAGAUUCAUCGCCCCUAGACGGGCCCGCGUCGGAUUAGGUAGUUGGUGGGGUAACGGCCUACCAAGCCUACGAUCCGUAGCUGAUCUGAGAGGAUGAUCAGCCACACUGGGACUGAGACACGGCCCAGACUCCUACGGGAGGCAGCAGUGGGGAAUCUUGGACAAUGGGCGAAAGCCUGACGCAGCAACGCCGCGUGGGGGAUGAAUGCCUUCGGGUUGUAAACCCCUUUCAGCAGGAACGAAAUGACGGUACCUGCAGAAGAAGGCCGGCCAACUACGUGCCAGCAGCCGC
rnacentral:rRNA from 1 species